GUGUUCAGUUGGACAACACAUAUGCUUAAAAUGGAAUGGUACAUGGAAAACCUGCAUGACCUCUGCAUAAGAAUGGCACGAAAUUAGUGAAGUAUUCUAUAUUUUU